CAGGUGGCCGGGAGUAGGGGGCUGGAGGUGAGGUGGGGCGCCACGGUCCUUCAGGGAGCGGCGUCAGAGCCUGCAGGAUUGAACAGAAACCGGAGCGCGGCCGGGGGAGGCUUGUGCGCUCCUCGCUCCUGCGUUCAGGAAAUGCAUACGCUAAUCAGUGGCCCAGAUUAUAUAGCAGACAAUGAUCCUGUACUUGCUGCUACCCAAAAUUUCUAAGAAUUCAUGCGCGGAGGAGAAGAACCCGGGUACACAGUUGCCAGUGUUAAGAAUCAAAGAAAGGACCUGAAAAUUGGCACCCUGACUCAACAGUUAGUUCUCUUUGGGCAGACUGCUGAUGCCAAUAGAAGUCUCCCUGGAAAAAAGGAUUCAUCACAGGACAGAUCAUGGUUGCAUUAUAAAGGGAUUUCCAAGGUACUGUCAAUGAAGCAAUCCUGCAAACUAUAUAUAUAAAAUAAGUAUAGAGGCAUAAGAAUAAAUGUCUGGAGUCCU